UGAUCCAUGAGCGUGUGGCC
rnacentral:snRNA from 1 species